AGAAGCCCGAGUUAACGGGACUUAAAAUAAAAAGGGUUAUAACUCUCGAAACCCACUAAGUAACUAGGAAUAUCAACCUAGUUAAUUAUGUGGUUUGAAAACAAUAAAGAAAACUUGGUUUAUAAUCCUUUUGAUAACUCUAAAAACUUGAGGGACUAAAAGUGUUAAAUGAGAAAAUAGUUUUAAUUUAAUAAAAAUCAAAACACCAAAACACACACUCAUGUGUGUGUUCUGGUCGUGGUUUACACAGGAGCCAAAAAGGGUUUUUAUCAAAACCCUAAAUCACAAGAAAUUCAGCCAAAUCAAGGGAAAUCAAGCUAGGAAAUUGGGGCUUUUAAUAAAUUAGUGAUCACCAAACCUAGGGGAUUACAAGUUUGACGCCUAACAAGCUAAGUGGAAGCUUGUGGAUGAAGCGGGUCAAACGGAGCGCGUACGGAAAGAAAGGCGUGGCAUGGAUGCAAGGUGUAAAUGUCAAAUGGGUAUUAGCAACGCUAUGAAUUAGCGGUUAUAAAAGCAAGGUACACCUUGGACGCCGGAAGACGAUCAAGCUCAGCGAAGAACCGAACACGAUAAUGAU